CUUUAAGUGUCUUUUAUAACUUCAAAUAAUGGUGGAGAGUAAUCUGGACUAAAAUAGAGCCAUUGGAGCACAUUAAAUGGGCAUUAAAUGCAGCCAAAAUGAGUUGAAAACUAGCCGUUGCGAAAUUUUUUCGUCACAGGGGUCGACUCAUGCUCAUGAGUCGACUCAUGGGGUCAACUUCUGUGGGACAGAACAAAAAAUGACUAUUCUAUAAUUUUAGCCUACACAGCAGCAG
rnacentral:lncRNA from 1 species